rnacentral:rRNA from 1 species
CGAGGCUUACACAUGCAGUCGAGGGGUAACAGAUCUUCGGAUGCUGACGACCGGCGAACGGGUGAGUAACACGUAUGCAACUUACCCAUAACUCGGGAAUAGCCCAAAGAAAUUUGGAUUAAUACCCAAUAAUACAGGCGUACCGCAUGGUAUUCUUCGUUAAAGAAUAAUCGGUUAUGGAUAGGCAUGCGUUCUAUUAGGUAGUUGGUGAGGUAACGGCUCACCAAGCCGACGAUGGAUAGGGGAACUGAGAGGUUGUCCCCCCACACUGGUACUGAGACACGGACCAGACUCCUACGGGAGGCAGCAGUGAGGAAUAUUGGUCAAUGGACGAAAGUCUGAACCAGCCAAAUCGCGUGAAGGAAGAAGGUAUUAUGUAUCGUAAACUUCUUUUGUAAGAGAGUAAAGUGCACUACGUGUAGUGUAUUGCAAGUACCUUACGAAUAAGCAUCGGCUAAUUCCGUGCCAGCAGCCGCGGUAAUACGGAAGAUGCAAGUGUUAUCCGGAUUUAUUGGGUUUAAAGGGUGCGUAGGUGGUCUAAUAAGUCAGUGGUGAAAUCUCUUUGCUUAACAAGGAAAUUGCCAUUGAAACUGUUAGACUUGAGAAUGGACGAGGUAGGCGGAAUUCGUAGUGUAGCGGUGAAAUGCAUAGAUAUUACGAAGAACUCCAAUAGUGUAGACUGCUUACCAGACCAUAUCUGACACUAAAGCACGAAAGUGUGGGUAUCAAACAGGAUUAGAUACCCUGGUAGUCCACACAGUAAACGAUGAAUACUAACUGUUUGCGAUAUACAGCAAGUGGUCGAGCGAAAGCGUUAAGUAUUCCACCUGGGAAGUAUGCCGGCACGGUGAAACUCAAGGAAUGACGGGGCCCGCACAGCGAGAACAUGUGUUUAUCGAUAAUACGCGAGAACUUACCCGGGCUCGACGAUAUUUGAUACAUCCGAAAGAUGAGCUAGCAUAGNAAAUACGAGUGCUGCAUGU